AAUAUAAAAAUAAUUAAAAAAAAAACUCAUAAAUAUUCAUUAGGAAUAGCGUGCCAAAACUUUAAGGAAACAAAAUAAAAAAAAAACAGAAUUCAAAAUCACUCAAUGAAAUUAUUAUAUUGGAGCAAAGCAAAUUUAGCUCAAAGCGCAUUAGAACAUGUGUAUAAUUUAAUUAUUGUCUGCACGGCAGCCACGAAAUAAAAACAAAAAAAAAGCGGAGUUGUAUGAGUGAAUGUAUCUAAAGACGUCACGGAAAUGAAUUUACACUAUAGCCGGGUGGUGGCAGAAGACGAGGAGUGUGGGUUGAAAACGGAAAUUCUCUUAAAAAGAUAUUGUAGGUGGAGUUUUAUAACCCACUAGAUACCAGAUACUAUAUCCCACCUACAUUUCACCUGGCUGAGUUUAUUGAAAAGAAGUUUUCGAGCUACAAGUGGAUGGAUGGAUGCUGUUGCAGAUGCGAAAAUGAUUUUAAGAGGAAAAAAAAUGGAAUAAAAAUCAUGUUUUUUUUUUAUUUUAACUGUUGUCAUUAAUGAUGUUCGGUGUUAAAGUUUAAUGACA